AGUAGGAGUAAUUAAAUCAUUUUUUAUUGUUUUAGUAGGUGAGACCGAAUUAAACAUAUAUGACAGCGAUAGAGAAUUGAUAGUAACGUGAGUGAAGGUUUUAAUCAGUGGGGCAGCAACGGUGAGAUCGUGUACCUUUUGCAUCAUGGCUCUACUACUUUUUAUUCACAUGAGGUAGCCCGAAAGUUUAAUGAUCUACUUCUUUGCCAUGGGUUGGCGUUGAAUUGCUAUCCAGAGAUGGGGAGGUAGCGGCGACAUACUUUUCGCAUUAGCUGGUAGCUGGUUGUUCUGGAAAUAUAUCUAAGUAUAGCCCUACUUUGGGACAGAUUCUACAGUUAUAGUUUUUCUUGGCUUGCCAAGAUGCUGUCCUCUUUUAGGAGAUGGCCCCUCCAGGCUAAGCUGGGGGGGUGCCUGAAAAGGAUGAUUGGUGAAGUCUUAGGUUUGGAAGUAGGUUUUAAGGAGCCAUCUUUUUGGAGUGGGUUUCACCUCACACUAACCUUCAUUACAAAUAAUAAUGGAUUUAUCUUUUAAUUGUACGGUACCUUCUUACGAAACUACUUCAGUAGGAGUGAUAAUGUAGAGAUGAGUAGUCGAGAUAGUUUGUAAUUAUUUUUUGUUUCAGGGUAAAAAAUAAGAAUAUAAGAAUGCGUAUUGGAAAACAAACCUUAAGGAACUCGGCAAAAUAGAGGACCGCCUGUUUAUCAAAAACAUGGCUUUCUGAAGAACAUGGGGGGUCGUGCCUUCCCAGUGGGCAUACGAGCCUAAACGGACGCGGUAAAUCGUGCUAAGGUAGCUAAAUUAUGGCCUAUUAAUUGUAGGUCCUGUGAAUGGUUUGACGAGUCCUCGACUGUCUCGAGGUUGUUUUGGUGAACUUGAAUUGAAUGUGCAAAUGCUUUCAUGGGAAAGAAAGACGAGAAGACCCCGUGAAGUUAGAAAUUCCUAUUACAGCGUUAAUCCGCUUUGAUGUUUGUAGAUCAGGCGUUUUAGAACUUUAAUUUUCCAAUACGGCUAGAGUUAGGGGUAUUGGAUGUUUAUAGUUUUUAAGUAGGGGAGUGUGGUUUUGAUGAGUUUUGGCUGGGGCAGCAAAGAGGCAAAACUAGACCUCUUUAGAUACACAACGGGUGCGUUACGACCCACAAAAAUGAAUUGUGUGAUUAGCAGAAUGAGUUACUCCGGGGAUAACAGCGUAAUCUUCCUUGAUAGUUCUUAUAGAUGGGCGGGUUUGCGACCUCGAUGUUGGCUCUGGGUAUCCUGAGGCUUGCAGGCGGUCUCAAGGGUUGGUUCGUUCGCCCAUUAAAACCUGACGUGAGCUGAGUUCAGAUCGGUGAAAGCUAGGUCGGUUUCUAUCUUCUUUCUGGUAAAUUUGGGUAGUAGGGUACGAAAGGACAUUCAACUUUAGGAUAAGGUUCUGUCGUCACUGAAGGAAAAAUAA
rnacentral:rRNA from 1 species